UACGUAGGGUGCGAGCGUUGUCCGGAAUUAUUGGGCGUAAAGAGCUCGUAGGCGGUGUGUCACGUCGUUCGUGAAAACCUGCAGCUUAACUGUGGGCGUGCGGUCGAUACGGGCAUCACUGGAGUUCGGCAGGGGAGACUGGAAUUCCUGGUGUAGCGGUGAAAUGCGCAGAUAUCAGGAGGAACACCGAUGGCGAAGGCAGGUCUCUGGGCCAUAACUGACGCUGAGAAGCGAAAGCAUGGGGAGCGAACAGG
rnacentral:rRNA from 1 species